ensembl:lncRNA
CACGGCCGACACCGGGCGGCUACCGCAUCUCCACCCGCCCCGGACACGUCCGGAUAUACCGGCCGAUCGCCGGUUCCCGACACACCGCCCUCCGGCCACCGUCUCCCGACGGUAAUGAUUGUUUUCAAGAUGGAGCCGGUUCCUGACGCUGCGACCAGCUCAGUGUUUCUUGCGCCGUUUCACGGUUUAGCCGCGGUCAAUCACGACCUAGGAGCCCUGGUUUGGGUGUCAUGAGAAGCCGGUCACCGUGCAGUGUUACCGGAUGCCUCGCGUGAACCGGACGACCGUUUUAACGCUGCUGAUCAUCAGCAGCUCCGUGUUUCUGCUGUUCCAGUUACAUUACUACCGGAAGUACGUCAGCAAGCAUGCGUUUCUUCUGCAGCAAGGUCCUUA